rnacentral:rRNA from 1 species
UAAUAUUCCUGUACUUGGUGUUACUGCGAAGGGGGGACGGAGAAGGCUAUGUUAGCCGGGCGACGGUUGUCCCGGUUUAAGCAUGUAGGCUGGUUAUCCAGGCAAAUCCGGAUAAUCAAGGCUGAGGUGUGAUGACGAGGCACUACGGUGCUGAAGUAACAAAUGCCCUGCUUCCAGGAAAAGCCUCUAAGCAUCAGGUAACAUCAAAUCGUACCCCAAACCGACACAGGUGGUCAGGUAGAGAAUACCAAGGCGCUUGAGAGAACUCGGGUGAAGGAACUAGGCAAAAUGGUGCCGUAACUUCGGGAGAAGGCACGCUGGUGUGUAGGUGAAGUCCCUGCGGAUGGAGCUGAGACCAGUCGAAGAUACCAGCUGGCUGCAACUGUUUAUUAAAAACACAGCACUGUGCAAACACGAAAGUGGACGUAUACGGUGUGACGCCUGCCCGGUGCCGGAAGGUUAAUUGAUGGGGUUAUCCGUAAGGAGAAGCUCUUGAUCGAAGCCCCGGUAAACGGCGGCCGUAACUAUAACGGUCCUAAGGUAGCGAAAUUCCUUGUCGGGUAAGUUCCGACCUGCACGAAUGGCGUAAUGAUGGCCAGGCUGUCUCCACCCGAGACUCAGUGAAAUUGAACUCGCUGUGAAGAUGCAGUGUACCCGCGGCAAGACGGAAAGACCCCGUGAACCUUUACUAUAGCUUGACACUGAACAUUGAGCCUUGAUGUGUAGGAUAGGUGGGAGGCUUUGAAGCGUGGACGCCAGUCUGCGUGGAGCCAACCUUGAAAUACCACCCUUUAAUGUUUGAUGUUCUAACGUUGGCCCCUUAUCGGGGUUGCGGACAGUGUCUGGUGGGUAGUUUGACUGGGGCGGUCUCCUCCCAAAGCGUAACGGAGGAGCACGAAGGUUAGCUAAUCCUGGUCGGACAUCAGGAGGUUAGUGCAAUGGCAUAAGCUAGCUUGACUGCGAGCGUGACGGCGCGAGCAGGUGCGAAAGCAGGUCAUAGUGAUCCGGUGGUUCUGAAUGGAAGGGCCAUCGCUCAACGGAUAAAAGGUACUCCGGGGAUAACAGGCUGAUACCGCCCAAGAGUUCAUAUCGACGGCGGUGUUUGGCACCUCGAUGUCGGCUCAUCACAUCCUGGGGCUGAAGUAGGUCCCAAGGGUAUGGCUGUUCGCCAUUUAAAGUGGUACGCGAGCUGGGUUUAGAACGUCGUGAGACAGUUCGGUCCCUAUCUGCCGUGGGCGCUGGAGAAUUGAGGGGGGCUGCUCCUAGUACGAGAGGACCGGAGUGGACGCAUCACUGGUGUUCGGGUUGUCAUGCCAAUGGCACUGCCCGGUAGCUAAAUGCGGAAGAGAUAAGUGCUGAAAGCAUCUAAGCACGAAACUUGCCCCGAGAUGAGUUCUCCCUGAGACUUUAAGUCUCCUGAAGGAACGUUGAAGACGACGACGUUGAUAGGCCGGGUGUGUAAGCGCAGCGAUGCGUUGAGCUAACCGGUACUAAUGAACCGUGAGGCUUAACCUU